AGAGUUUGAUCCUGGCUCAGAACGUACGCUGGCGGCACGCCUAACACAUGCAAGUCGAACGAAGUAGCAAUACUUAGUGGCGAACGGGUGAGUAUAAUGUGGGUAUCUGCCUUUUGGUUUGGAAUAACACGAGGAAACUUGUGCUAAUACCGGAUAAGCCUUCACAGGGAAAGUUUUAACGCCAAAAGAUGAGCCCGCACUUGAUUAGCUAGUUGGUAAGGUAAAAGCUUACCAAGGCUACGAUCAAUAGCUGAUCUGAGAGGAUGAUCAGCCACAUUGGGACUGAGACACGGCCCAAACUCCUACGGGAGGCAGCAGUGGGGAAUCUUGCACAAUGGGGGAAACCCUGAUGCAGCGAUGCCGCGUGAGUGAAGAAGGCCUUUGGGUUGUAAAGCUCUUUCGUCGGGGAAGAAAAUGACUGUACCCGAAUAAGAAGGUCCGGCUAACUUCGUGCCAGCAGCCGCGGUAAUACGAAGGGACCUAGCGUAGUUCGGAAUUACUGGGCUUAAAGAGCUCGUAGGUGGUUAGAAAAGUUGGUGGUGAAAGCCCAAGGCUUAACCUUGGAACUGCCAUCAAAACUUUUUAACUAGAGUAUGGUAGAGGAAAGUGGAAUUUCUGGUGUAGCGGUGAAAUGCGUAGAUAUCAGAAGGAACAUCAAUGGCGAAGGCAGCUUUCUGGACCAAUACUGACGCUGAGGUACGAAAGCGUGGGUAGCAAACAGGAUUAGAUACCCUGGUAGUCCACGCCGUAAACGAUGAUAACUAGCCGUUGGGGGGAUUUACCCUUUAGUGGCGAAGCUAACGCGUUAAGUUAUCCGCCUGGGGAGUACGGCCGCAAGGCUAAAACUCAAAGGAAUUGACGGGGACCCGCACAAGCGGUGGAGCAUGUGGUUUAAUUCGAUGCAACGCGAAGAACCUUACCUGGUCUUGACAUCCUGCGAACUUUCUAGAAAUAGAUUGGUGCCUUCGGGAACGCAGUGACAGGUGCUGCAUGGCUGUCGUCAGCUCGUGUCGUGAGAUGUUGGGUUAAGUCCCGUAACGAGCGCAACCCCUAUCCUUAUUUGCCAGCACAUUAUGGUGGGAACUAUAAGGAGACUGCCGGUGAUAAACCGGAGGAAGGCGGGGACGACGUCAAGUCAUCAUGGCCCUUACGACCAGGGCUACACACGUGCUACAAUGGGAAGGACAAAGAGCCGCGAAGCCGCGAGGUGUAGCUAAUCUCAUAAAUCUUUUCGUAGUCCGGAUUGGAGUCUGCAACUCGACUCCAUGAAGUCGGAAUCGCUAGUAAUCGUAGAUCAGAAUGCUACGGUGAAUACGUUCCCGGGUCUUGUACACACCGCCCGUCAUACCAUGGGAGUGGGUUGCACCAGAAGUGGCUAGUCUAACUUUGUGAGGACGGUCACCACGGUGUGAUUCAUGACUGGGGUAAAGUCGUAACAAGGUAACC
rnacentral:rRNA from 1 species